CUAGCCACGGAAAUUGCUGUGUUGUAGAAGAGCUAUUAUGAGUUAUGUGUUGUUAGAAAAGGUUGUACCCAAUCUAGAAAUUAUUAUAGUUUCUAUAAAUAUUAAUUGUAGUGACAUCUAAGUAUUUUGCUGAUGUGAGUGAAACUCCAAUAAUUUUGUAUUUUUUGUUUGGCAAAACAUGGAGUUUGUCAAUUCACAAAAUAAAAAUGGUAAAGUAAAAAAGAGUUCAUCUCCACCGUUUCUCAUAUUUUUUGUAAAAAAUAGAAUUAUGGACCCACUCGUUGCCCGUGCUUUUUUUCCUCGCACGCCGCUGCCAGUUCACGCGGUUUUUGUUUUCCUUCACUAGUUCGCCUAGUCACCGGCGAUUGCAUCCAGCCGACCAGCAAAUUCCUCCCAGGAAGGCACGUCUAGGCUAGCUAGUAGUCAUGACACCGAUAGAUUCCAAGUCGCUGAAGACUCCACCAAGUCGGCAACUGAAACUCCGAUGAAAGAUGGCGACAUCACGGAGCAAUCGCGCGGGGACUCCGACAGCGAUGCGCGUGAGAAGGAGUAGGCAUGUGGGAUAAUGAUACGCGCGUGGGAGGAGUCUCCCUGUCAUGCAAAAACACUAAUGCCAAGCCUCGCGGACUUUUGCAUAUAUGCACAGUUUGACCAUCCAUUUGUCAAGUUGCCAAAUUUGCCAAAGCCAAUUGUCAAACCGUUGGAGAGUGACUUUUGGCUUUUCUCAAAAAAAAAAAAAAAGAAUGCCUAACUCGAUUGCAAACCCGUUAGAGUUGCUCUGACAAGGUAAUUAUUGAAGAGAGAAACCCGGUCUAAGUUAGAAACCACGAGAUUCAAUAUAUGAAGUGAUGUGGUUGGUUGAGAAUAAAGAGAAUGAAUGUGAUUGGAUAAUGUAUAAACUAUUCAUUGAAAUCAUAGUUUCUAUAUAUAAUAUCUAUUAUAUAAACUAUAUUGAGACUGCCCUUAGCUAAUUGCUUCAAACAACUAUAAAAGCUAUCUCCUUCCCCUAUAGUGCUAUUUCUCAUGCAACAAUUGCGACCGCGACACAUGUCUCUAUUUCCGUCCAUUUAGAGAAAAUACAAAU
rnacentral:lncRNA from 1 species